rnacentral:lncRNA from 1 species
AAAUGAAAGGUGCCACAUGUGGAGCAGGGUCCGCUUACCCUUCCAGAGCACCUGAGAUCACCCCGGUUUUUGGUGGGGUUCGUGUUUCUCAGUCUUUAGGUUUUUUUCUGUGUUGUAUUUUGUGUUCUGUUGUUUGUCUGUUUGUCUGUUUCUUUUUUAGCCAUGGCUUUGUCGAUUUACUUUUUACUUAUGAGAUAUAACGUCCCUUUGGUUUUUCGCUCCUCCUUUACUUACGGUUAAUUUAUUACCAAAACAAUAAUCAGUUUCAAAAUUUUAAUUUGAAAACAAAAGUGCAAUGAAAUACAUACAAAUCAAACACUAUAAACAUAAUAUCACUGUUCAAAGUUAGAACUGUCACAUCCACUAAAAGUUACCCGGUUAUGCACAACCGUUUCUAAAUAUAGCAUUGAGAAAUAGUCAUUCCUUAUACGGAAUAUAUACAAAGUUGUCCCAGCCACUGAUCAUGUAUGAUCACUCCUUAUAUGGAAUAAGAAAAUCAAUAUCACAUAUUCUAUAUUAAAAAACACAAUUACAGAUUGAGAAAGUUCUAAGUUUCUAAAUAUAGCAUUUAAAAAAGUCACUCGGAAGCAGUCAGUGUAAGUGUAUCGUCUUGCGAUGAUUGAAGUUCAUUGGUGGUUGGUAGAACCACAGGUACUCUCCAGAAUGCAUUGAAAUCUGGAAUUUGUAGCAUGAUUUCAAUUUCUUUUAGUUUUCUCAAAAUGAAAUUUAGAGGUAAUCCCACAUUAAAAAAUUGAUUGGUAUCCGUGAAGAACCUUUGCGAGAGCACGUAGCUUCCUCGCGUGGUCAUCGGAAUACCCUGUCUUCUCUUUUAACCAUGCAGCCCAAGAUUGUUGAAUUCUUCCUUCUUUCCUUUCAUUUUCCAGCCAGGCUUUGGUAAGAUUUAAAAAAUGUCCAAAAUUAAUAUGAAUUAAAAGUGUUUGAGCAUCCUGCCGUUUUAGAUUUCGUAUCCCUUUAUUUAAUUUUUCCACAAUGUUCGUCUCACUCUCAUUGCCAAAAAGCAAAUAACCGUCGGUGAAUGUUUCUCUAGAAAUUGUGCGGUUAACAUCAGCAAUGUUGUCUGUUAGAUAUUUGUGCAGUUCUAGGGGGUCAUUUUUUCUUAUUCACUUUUCCAUAAACGUCACUAAGCCGUUGUUUAGGUUUUUUAGGAAGCUUCGGCAUCUUUCCGGUUGGUCCAUUUGAAUCAAUUUCGUUAACCAACAAUCCCAUAUUUUGAUAGUAAAUUUUAUAAUCAUUAAUAAAUUGUUUUUGGGUAUCAGUCCAUUGUUGUUCUGAUUCCAUAUCUGCUUCACGUUCACACUGAUUUGAAGGUAAAAUUAAUGUCUCACCACUGUUAAUUUGAAACGAAAGACCGCACCAGUCUGCUAUAUGUUUACAUGUGAUGACAACAUUGUCUAGGCAACAUGUAAACAUACUCUUGACAACCAUGUAAAUAUUUCCAAUGAUCGAUUUAGUCUAUUUAAAAGUCAUGUCCUAUUAAAUAGCAAAUGUAAAAAGCAAUUUAAGUUGUAGUAGUAUUGAUCCGUUUUAUUACUAGACUAUAUUGAUAAAAUUAAUUAAAAAUCAAGGUUGGGGCGCACUGGGGAAAUUAUUUUUUCUCUUAAAUCCCACAGAAUUCUUUCUCUGCCUGUUCUCCCGGUUUUUUUUUUUUUUGGGAGUAAGAAAAUUUGGUGUUUUUUGGGGUGUUUUUUUGCUUUUUUUUUUUAUGAAAAUUUAGGGCUCUUUUACUUGAAAUGAGGGUAAUUUUU